GGAGGUGGCUCAGGGUCAGGAGGUAGGUCUAGGAAUCAGGAGGUUCCUGGUUCGAUCCCUGGCUCCUCCA